rnacentral:lncRNA from 1 species
UGAGCCAUCGCGCCAGGCCAAGACUGUCUCAAAAAAAAAAAAAAAAAAAUCUAGGCUUCCUUAUUAAUAUCUGAACAAAUAAUUACAUAUUUGCUUCUUUCCAAAUUUGGCAGCAACUAAACUUAAAAAUUUUUUUAAGUACAUUUGCUUUUGCAGUUAGCCUGGCCUCCAGAGCUCUUGGACUGCAGCACCCAUAAUGAUGGCCAAAGCCGCCCCCACGGCGACUCCUCCUGCUGAAGCAAAGUCAGGCAGAACAAUAAGAUGAGCAUGGUGGUGCAGGCCUGUAAUCUCAGCUCCUCAGGCGGGAGGAUCACUUGAUCCCCGGAAGUUUGAAGCUGGACUGCGCUGACCGCACCUGUGAAUACCACUGCCCGUCAAUCAGCCUAGGGGAAACAUUCUCGAGUGCGAGCAUGACGGCUUAGGUUGAUGUUUUUCAAAUUUUCCCAAUGAUGAGUAUUGUAAGGGACCAAAAUAAAAAAAUGCCAAUGCCUA